AUACUCUGGUUUCUCUUCAGAUCAUAUAAAUCUUUCGCUAUUUACUAAAGAUUUCCACGGAGAGGAACAAUUCUGAGUAUUUACCCAAUUUUUUGAGGCCUUACUCUUGUGAGGCA
ensembl:snRNA U5 U5 spliceosomal RNA